GACGAACGCUGGCGGCGUGCUUAACACAUGCAAGUCGAACGGAAAGGCCCUGCUUUUGUGGGGUGCUCGAGUGGCGAACGGGUGAGUAACACGUGAGUAACCUGCCCUUGACUUUGGGAUAACUUCAGGAAACUGGGGCUAAUACCGGAUAGGAGCUCCUGCUGCAUGGUGGGGGUUGGAAAGUUUCGGCGGUUGGGGAUGGACUCGCGGCUUAUGAGCUUGUUGGUGGGGUAGUGGCUUACCAAGGCUUUGACGGGUAGCCGGCCUGAGAGGGUGACCGGGGACAAUAGGACUAAGGGAGGGACCAGACUCCUACGGGAGGCAGCAGUGGGGAGUAUGGCAUAGUGAGCGCGAGCCUGAUGCAGAGACGCCGCGUGCGGGAAGACGGCCUUCGGGUUAUAAACCGCUGUCGCCUGUGACGAAGCGGGAGUGACGGUAAUGGGUAAAGAAGCACCGGCUAACUACGUG
rnacentral:rRNA from 1 species